AAAUUUAAUAUAUUCUGCAAUAAAGGUUUUAUACUAUGGUUGAACAUAGAUUGCGUCAAAACAAGUAUGUUACCAGCAGUGAUAUUGUGUUGUUUAUUGUGUCCACGGAUAAGUAUACAAAAGACGCUAAAAGGGUCGUCAAGGGUGGAACCGAGGAACUGCGACUCGGUGUGCCGCGACUUACAACCCGGGGACACGCAGCCAGUGUGUAUGAUGGCCAGCAGAUACAAAAAAGGAUACCUGUACUUUGCAAAUCACUGCCAAGCGAGACUGGCCAUGUGUAUCGAGAAUUUUGUUUUAAAUAUGGUUCAUUGGAGAAGGUGUCAAAGAUACGGACUAUAUUUAAUGCCAAAUCCCUCAUACAUAUCCACUACAAAGGACGAAUAA